rnacentral:rRNA from 1 species
AACCGGGAGAUAGCUGGUUCUCCCCGAAAGCUCUUUAGGUAGCGCCUCGUGAAUUCAUCUCCGGGGGUCGAGCACUGUUUCGGCUAGCGGGCCAUCCCGGCUUACCAACCCGACGCAAACUGCGCAUACCGGAGAAUGUUAUCACGGGCGACACACGGCGGGUGCUAACGUCCGUCGUGAAGAGGGAAACAACCCAGCCCCCCCGCUAAGGUCCCCAAGUCAUGGUUAAGUUGGAAACGAAGAUGGAAGG